UUCCGGUUGAUCCUGCCGGAGGCUACCGCUAUUGGAGUUCGAUUAAGCCAUGCGAGUCGCGAGUCUUAGGGACUCGGCGUACCGCUCAGUAACACGUGGGUAACCUGCCCUAUGCUGGGGGAUAACCUCGGGAAACUGAGAAUAAUACCCCAUAGUUCACCACGCCUGGAACGGUGGGUGGAUCAAAGCUCCGGCGGCAUAGGAUGGGCCUGCGGCGUAUCAGGUUGUAGGGGGUGUAAUGUACCCUCUAGCCCUCUACGCGUACGGGUGUUGAGAGACAUCGCCCGGAGAUGGAUUCUGAGACACGAAUCCAGACCCUACGGGGUGCAGCAGGCGCGAAAACUUGGCAAUGCGAGAAAUCGUGACCAGGGAACUCCAAGUGCAUCGGGUAAGACCGAUGCUUUUCUUGACUCUUCAAAGGUCUUGGAAUAAGGGGUGGGUAAGGACGGUGCCAGCCGCCGCGGUAAUACCGGCGCCCCAAGUGGUAGUCGCUUUUAUUGGGCCUAAAACGUCCGUAGCCGGUCUGGUACAUUCGUGGGUAAAUCAACCAGCUCAACUGGUUGAAUUCUGCGAGCACGGCCAGACUUGGGACCGGGAGAGGUGUGGGGUACUCUCAGGGUAGGGGUAAAAUCCUGUCAUCCUGAGGGGACCACCUGUUGCGAAGGCGCCACACUAGAACGGAUCCGACGGUCAGGGACGAAGCCUAGGGGCACGAACCGGAUUAGAUACCCGGGUAGUCCUAGGUGUAAACGCUGUGGACUUGAUGUUGGGGGCGCUCCGAGCGCACUCAGUGUCGAAGCGAAGGUGAUAAGUCCACUGCCUGGGGAGUACGGUCGCAAGGCUGAAACUUAAAGGAAUUGGCGGGGGAGCACCGCAACCUGAGGAUUGUGCGGUUUAAUUGGAUUCAACGCCGG
rnacentral:rRNA from 1 species